GGCUCGUUGGUCUAGAGGUAUGAUUCUCGCUUCGGGUGUGGAGGUCCCGGGUUCAAAAUCUCGGACGAGCCC
rnacentral:tRNA from 1 species